UACGGAGGGUGCGAGCGUUGUCCGGAAUCACUGGGCGUAAAGGGCGCGUAGGUGGUGCGAUAAGCGUGUGGUGAAAGCCCGGGGCUCAACUCCGGGUCGGCCAUGCGAACUGUCGGACUGGAGCACUGUAGAGGCAGGUGGAAUUCCGGGAGUAGCGGUGGAAUGCGUAGAGAUCCGGAAGAACACCGGUGGCGAAGGCGGCCUGCUGGGCAGUUGCUGACACUGAGGCGCGACAGCGUGGGGAGCAAACAGG
rnacentral:rRNA from 1 species